rnacentral:rRNA from 1 species
GAUGAACGCUGGCGGCGUGCCUAAUACAUGCAAGUCGAGCGAAUAGACGAGGAGCUUGCCUCUCUGACGUUAGCGGCGGACGGGUGAGUAACACGUGGAUAACCUACCUAUAAGACUGGGAUACGUUCGGGAACCCGGAGAUAACAUAGGUUAAUAUAUUGAACCUGAUGGUUCAUUAGAGCACGACGUUUCUGAUGUCACUUAUAGAUGGUUCCGCGUCGCAUUAGCUAGUUGGUAAGGUAACGGCUUACCAAGGCAACGAUGCGUAGCUGACCUGAGAGGGUGAUCGGCCACACUGGAACUGAGACACGGUCCAGACUCCUACGGGAGGCAGCAGUAGGGAAUCUUCCGCAAUGGGCGAAAGCCUGACGGAGCAACGCCGCGUGAGUGAUGAAGGUCUUCGGAUCGUAAAACUCUGUUAGUAGGGAAGAACAGAUGUGUAAGUAACUAUGCACGUCUUGACGGUACCUAAUCAAAAAGCCACGGCUAACUACGUG